GCCAAAUCAUAGAUCGUGCGUCACUAUACGCACAGCUUCAUACGAUCACCAGGAGUUGGGUAGCCCCGACAUCAGAUAUAGAGUGAGAGACACAUGUACGCUGGCUACAAGAACACGACAAGCCAGGGGCAACCUUGUCCUGUUCCGCAAAAAGCAUAGCCACCUCUUAGUAUUCCCAUCUCGUUCUUCCUUCUCUUAACCUCAAACCCCAACCCACUCCUCAAUGUGCAGCUCUUGUGUUACCACUUUCUAGUUUGAUCGUGCCCAGCAAACAACUCAAUUCUUCUCUUCAUCGUCUCUGCGACAGUAGGUGACAUCCUCCUUGCUAUGAACAUACUACAAGAGUCUGUGUGUGUGCAGCAUUUGGUACGAUGAGUGGUCCGUUGCCACGGUGAUGCAGUAAGUGACCGCUCGCAUUGUGCCUUCAUCCUGCGGUGUGCAUGAGCAGGCAAGGAGGAAGAGCAGUCGAUGGAAGGCAUGCAAAGGAAGGGAUGUGUGCACAGGAUCAGGAAGUGCGCGGUCGAUCUGCUGUCGAUGGAGGACGAUCUGAUCGAUGCCGAGGAGAAGGAUGGGUGGGAGCUGACGGGCAGCGAGCUUCGCCUCAAGUCCACAUUCUUGUACUGUGAUCUCCACCAGGUGAUCGCCAGUGCCGGAGAAGAGCGCAAGAAGGCUCUCACCCUCCUCGCCAACAAGCUCUUCUACCGCCUGGAACAGGAAACUCCUCUUCACCUUUUCUCUCUGUGACAACCUCUGCUACUUUGUUGUUAGUGUCUGGAGGAAGAAGACGAAAGUGGUCGGUGUGUGUGUACAGGUUUCUCAUCUGAUCUCUUUUCCUGUUUCUGCAAAUGGCAGCUGGAUGAAGCUCUCAAGAGCAGAAGCACCUCUUGGACACACGUCUGCUACCGCGACGCAACCCAUGUGUUGCAGGAACUGAUGGCAGCUCUCAUGCCCCUUCCUUUGAACGAGCAUCAAGUAUUCUUGAGUUCCUUCUUAAAAGGAAGUGAAGCUGCUCUCCAUCAUUCACAUGGUCACUGUGAAGAAGAGGUAGAUAUCCGGCAGUUGUUCAGAAGAAAACGGGGAACAAUUACUCAAGCAGACUUGGAUGAUAUCCAACAUAGUGCAGAACAGGCUGCUGCAAAUAAGAGAUGUUACAGAUCCAACUUGAAGGAGACGAGCUCAGGCUGCAAGAAGGAUCUCUUCCCUACACUGAAACACAUGGAAGACACACAUGAAUCAAAAUUAGAACUUGAUGGCAAUAAGUUAGAAUAAUGUUGUUGCAAUGUAACAGCAAGAAUAAUGUUGUUGGAACUCUGACGAGAAUUGUGCUAGGAUCAAUAAACAGGGAGCUUCAAGAUCCUCAAGAAAAAGUGGAACAGGAAGAUAAGUAAAAGAAUCAUAUUACUUGCAUGACA